AUGUGUCAUCGACGUCAAGGAAUUCUGGCAGCUCCACGGCGAAUUCAACAGCCUGAUUCGACACGCCGUGUCCGAGUGUCAGGUUCGAGCUCUCACAGUCAGCCUACACAAAACAAUAUAUGGGCAGCCUCUCGUUUCCAGGCACUUGGCGAGGUUGGAGCUUCGCCAUGUAACAGUGCCCGCAGAAUGCACGCUUCUUGA
rnacentral:rRNA from 1 species